AUUACGCGAUACUCGUGCGAUUAAACAUUGAACGUAAAUUACAUCAUCGCGCGUAUCGCUUUUGCCGUUUGUUUACGCACAACAGGCGACUCCUCGUGCGUCGCGAAACGUUUUCAUUUUGUUUUCACUCAUCGCAAGUUCAGAUGCAGUCAAGGUUUGUUUUCAUCUGCUCACUGCAGUUAUUUUAGCCUUAGAAGUAUAUUUAGUUGCCUAACUCACAAGGCGUGGGCGCUUUGUUAGUAAACGACGCAAUAGAUUUUCUUUGUUUCGCUCCACUUUGUUUAACAUCUCAACUAAUUUAAUUCAUUCUAAUGAAUUAAACCAGACAUAUUAAUAGUUUAUUUAGAGUAUUUCCAGUGUUUAGGUGUAGUUUUAUCAACUUAUCGAAAAACAAUCAACAACUGCAUUCCGCACACGGCUUUAGCAAGUUGCAAGACUUACUGAAUUGAAGCAGAAUUAAAACGCUUGAAUACUUUGCCCCAAGUCGUCUUCUAAGAGUUUGCGCUCUUGGAUUUUUGAUUGCAAGAGUAAACAUUGUAAAACACCAAUACGGAUGUCCAUUUGGGAGAUUUCACUCUUGAUUUGCGUGAUGGCUUUCUUAAUUUUCACCAGUGGAGCUGAAAAUAACAAAUAGUUUAAUUAAAAACAAGUUAUAAAAUUACAUUUGAUAAAAAUCAUGCGAAACAACAAA